CCCAGCCCUGACGGGCUGGGCUUUAUUCUGUCGCCCGCUUGCGCGGGCU
rnacentral:sRNA from 1 species